GUUCUUACCUGUGGAAGCUGCAGACCUGCCACUAACUUUAUCGAUCACCUAUAACCGAUCCCCUUGGUUUUCAGUAGAUUUGGAAUCCAACAAGGGUGACCGCUCUUCAGUAUGCCAGUUCAGGUGUACCUCCUACCCGCUUACCUCGCCCGUGUGUACCCAAAACAGUGCCCAUUUUGGCAAAAUUGAUGGCUCUUUGGGCCCAGCGGAGUGCGCAUUGCCCAAACCUGCGCUUGGGAGCUGCACCUUAGCCUAAACAAGCUGGCUGACCGAAGCACGCGCAAGCAUCCUUCCGCUUUGAAACGAGUUUGCACCGCGUUUUUCACCCCCGACUGCUUUGCUUUCGGGGCGCUACUUGGACGCAAGACCCGAAGUGAAGUCCCGAAGGCGAGAUCUGAAGGCAAGAGGAUUCCUCUGCUCACCUUGAUCUGACACACUCCAAGGCCCCAGUUAACUAUGGGUUGUAUGGGGCGGACGGGUGCAAACUGGCUGCGCCCCGCAGAGGCGCUCGCUCUCCGGGUCCGGGUCUCCGAGGGCAUCUGGUGUCAGGUUGGCUUGUGCUGACUACCUGCAGCGCGCGCAGAUCCCAGGCCAGGGAAAAGGGCGCCGUGUAACCGGGACGGCCAGUUACUCUCCAGGGAUCGGGUCUUAGUAACUUAAGAAGCGCCUCAGAACUACUGGUGAGCGUGUUAAGGCACCUCCUUGCACAACCUCCCACUCCUUCCAGAGCCUCGCAUAUUUCCCUUCUCUCUCCUGCCUUCCCCCUAAACCCCCGCGGCCCCGCCCGUUAAAGGAGCGCGCCUAGCAUUCGAUUUACAAAGCUGCCGUUUUAUAUGUUUAUUCGCAGCUAAUUGCUUAUGCAGGAAAAUACUCUUUACCCGGACCAAGGCCUUCCGCCGGGCGCUGACAGACCCCCGCCGGCGGCAGCUGUCUGUUGCCACCCGCGAAGUAGUGAAGGAACCGGCGGCGAGAGGGCUGCAGUCUCCGCCACCGGCACUGCUUAGGACUCCCGGUAGGGGGAGUCGCCGCGGGCGCUAGGCCAACCUGGGUCCAGGCCUCAAGUCCGCCCUGCUGCCAGCGGCAACCCUGCGUGAAAGGCCUGCCCUCCAGGUGCGCGCGGCCAGCGGAAGAGAGAACACAGGGCCGAGCUCGCCCCUAAUUCCGGUGGUUGUACAGCAAAGAAGAUAAGCAAGACAGAAGAAUAUUGUUUAGGUCCAGAUAUAGCAAAUCCCUGAAUGUGAACAAGGAGUUGAAGAUUGGAUCACAUUGUUCUAUUAGAUCCAUCUUUUUUAGACAAAAUAAUGCAAAGAAUCUUAUGUUACUUCAUCACCAAUGAAGUGUUUUUGAAUUUUUAUUAAGCAUCUCUCUGGAAUAUUUUGCUCAGCUGUUCUGUAUACACUUCUGUCCCCUACACCAGAGGCUCCUCAGACAGGUGAGACAGGCAGGGACUAUCUGCUGAGUGGUCAUUUCAAAGUCCUCCAGAGAGGGCGAUGCUCAGGCAGGUAGAACAUUGUCUCAUAUGGUCCCAGAGAUGUAACAUUACAUUGGCUCAGAGCACAGAAAAAGAGGCUCACAGACUAUGUCCUCUGGUCUUUGAUUCUUGCUACAGGGACACAAGGUGUCAUACCAAAUGAUGAGAAGACCCUAGGCUUACUCUGAAAAACAUUUCUGUCACGUUUCUACAUUAAACUUGUCCAGGGACCAAUAUUGUUUUGUUCGGUGUUGAUGAAAAAAUAAAAUAUUGUCAUUUCCCUCUCUAUUA